GCCUGGGUGGCUCAGUCGGUCGAGUGUCCGACUUCGGCUCAGGUCAUGAUCUCAUGGUUUGUGGGUUCGAGCCCCAUGUCAGGCG
rnacentral:tRNA from 1 species